UGGCUCAGUGGUAGAGUGCUUGCCUUGCAUGCAUGAAGUCCUGGGUUCGAUUCCUCAG
rnacentral:tRNA from 1 species